UACGAGAGGUCCAAACGUUAUUCGGAAUUACUGGGCUUACAGAGUUCGUAGGCGGUACUUCAAGUCAGGCGUGAAAGCCCCGGGCUCAACCUGGGAAUGGCAGUGGAAACUAGGGGACUGGAAUCUGGCAGAGGGGGGUGGAAUGCCGCGUGUAGCAGUGAAAUGCGUAGAGAUGCGGCGGAACACCGAUGGCGAAGGCAGCCCCCUGGGCUGAGAUUGACGCUCAGGCACGAAAGCGUGGGGAGCAAACAGG
rnacentral:rRNA from 1 species